rnacentral:snRNA from 1 species
AUCUCUUCUCGGCAUUUUGGCUAAGAUCAAGUGUAGUAUUUGUUCUUAUCAGUUUAAUAUCUGAUACAUCCUCUAUCCAA